GGAUCGGACGGUUUCGGUCUCGGUUUGUCUGUUUGGAGUUCCCAGGCCUUGCCUGAAACAUUCUAGCUUCUCUCCCCUCAAAUCCAAAAAUCCCCACAUCAUAGCCUUCGACAAAAACCCACUCUCCGACUCUUUCUUCCUUUCCUUUCCCGUCUUUUUCUUCGUCCCCAUCCUCUCUUCUUCUUUGUUUUUCCUUUCUUUCUUUUUUUUGUCUCUUCUUCUCUCUGCUUCUUUUCUUUCUCCCGUCACCCCUCAUCUCCUUUAGUCGGCCCCCUAAUCGAAGCCUUCAACAGUACCCCAUUUCAAAAUUCGUAAGCACCAUUCUUUCACGUACUAUCAUUCAUUAACUAGUAUACAUUUGGCCCCGUUUGUUUUCCCUCAUGAAAGGAGUGGAUAGGAAAAAAUAUAUCCCAUCAGAUCACUUGUGAUGUUUGGAGCCCAAGAUAUGUUAGCAUCGGAAAUUUUGUAUCCAAUCAGACAUGGAUAAAAGAAAUCCUGUUGAAAUGGUGUGAAAGAUUAAAUCCUGCUACUUAUUUCUUCGUCUUUCAGCCUCGUCAACAACGUAGAACUUCUCCCUUCCUCUGCGACCUUCACCUUCCUAUGCUCCGUCACAAUGCUCUGGCCCCUCUGCGGCCAUUUGACCUCCUGUUGCUGUCUCUCAGAGUUUGGUUAUAUGGCUUCAAGAUUACAUGAUGAAUUAGCUUCUCUGAAGCGGACAUGCAAUUGGAAAAGCUGCCAAAGUGCCUCCUACAAUAGAGGAAGUUAAUCAAGAGCUUAACAACCAAGAGCUUGCUGAUGUAUUUGAUUCCAAGGUAGAACCAGACCAGAAAUCUACUGCUAUAUCUGAAGAUAAACUUUUCAACUACAAAUUGAAUCAAAGCCUUUAAACUUCUUAUGGCUGAUUCUGCUUAGCUUUUGGCUCUAGAUAAAGCGGAAGGAAAGAUGGAGUUCUUCAUACAGCUUAUUUGUAAGUCGUACGGACUCUGAUUUUGGGAGUAGUUAAAACUUUUAGUUAUUGGCAUAUUCAAACUUAGUAAUUUGUAUUUGUUGUACCAAUGGAUCACAGUAUUUGUAAGAUAUAGUUUGUUGCUUAUAGAUCUUAUGAAAUUUGGAGAUUCACCAUCUUUUUU